ensembl:lncRNA
GCAUAAUCACGGAGCAUAUGAUGGGACAUGCAGGCUCAGUCAGACUUCCCAUUUCUUGCGGUUUUACGCUGUAAUGUAUCAUCUGGUCCUUCGGUUUGGAGAAACUCACACAGAACAGGAAGUAAGAGACGAGACAUUCAGCAGCAGCUUGAGCUCUGCAGAGACAAAACUGCUCCGGGGGAUGUUCGAGAGACAUUCGGUGACUGGGGUACGACUUCGAGAACACGAUCGGGCAAGUAACUUUAUUCUAAAAAAGUUUUAUUUUCUCACACUGGGGACUUUAGGGAAUGCGAGUCCACUAUUGUGAUUUAGCCUGCUGCUUGUUUGUCCUUUGAGUUUUGCUGAAAAACCCUUUUGCAAACAUAUAAUGAAUUCCAAGUCCAACACGAUGAUAAACCAAGAUCUGUGAGAGAA